GUCUCAUUCACCCAUGAACACACACUCACACACCAAUAGUAGCAGAGCUGCCAUGCAAGGCACUAACUUGCCAUCGGGAGCAACUUGGGGUUCAGUGUCUUGCCCAAGGACACUUCGGCAUGUGGAGUCAUGUGGGCCGGGAAUCGAACCGCCAACCCUACGAUUAGUGGACGACCCGCUCUACCACCUGAACCACAGCCGCCCAAAAUCUAGGUGCUUCAUUUUGAAAACCUUAUAAAUCAGAAGGGUUGAAUCCUUUCAGACAUACCUAUUCUUUCAUAUAACUGUGGACCUUAUAUUUAAACACUAAAGACAUCUUAUCCCAGACAGCAAUCGCUGAAAACUUUGUGCAUCUUGCAUGAAUAACUCCAUAGUAACAACUUAUGGAACAUUAUAACUUUUUUUCUGUAGCACAGAAGUUUUUACAAUAAAAUUAAGCUCGCGCCCACUUUUUCACGCCUCUGUACCUCAGAAACUAACGCAGAUACAAGCCUGAAAUCCUGCACACUAUUUACUGCGAACAGCGAGAUUAUUUCCACACACAACGACAAAAAAAAAUCUGAGACAGUCACUCAGGGAAAUUUUCACUCUGACGUCUGGUGAUUUGAGGUGGAAUUCCACCAUUUCCUCUUCUGAUUAAACUCUACUAAGUCCAGAAAAUGUUUCUGCUUCAUGUAACAUGCUUUGACUGGUCUGUGACGUCAUCAGGCAACUUUUUAAGCAGCUAGUGUAUUUUCCCCUGAAGAGCUAGCACUGUCGGUCUCCGUCUGAAUCCUAAGCGAAGUGAAAUGACAGAGGAACAGUUGAAGGAGUUGUCAAGUCAAAAACGAUGGAUCAGCGGUACGUCUGAAGGAAGAAGAAUGAAGAAAGAACACUCUGUCCACAGUCAAGCAUAGUGGUGGCUCGGUGAUGCUCUGGGGCUGCUUUGUAUCCUCUGGCACUGGAAACCUGCAGCAUGUGGAAGCCAUUGCUCAUGAUGAAUGGGCUAUGGUGUCUGGCUAUGCAUCUCAUUUGCAGUCAGGGGUGUGGUGGAUCCAGAGGUUAUCCUGGCAACACUGGAGAAGUAGGGUGGGAAUACACCCUGCCAGUUCUACCCGGGACACCAUGCACACACAUUCACACUUAGGGGAAAUUUAGUGUAGUCAAUCCAAAUACUGGCAUGGUUUGGGAGGCGGAAGGAAACCAGAUAACCUGAAGGAAUCCCACACAAACACGGAAAGAACAUACAAAAUUCCACACAGACACUAACCUGAGCUCAGGCUUGAACCCAAGACCCUGGAGGAGUCAGGAAGCAAUGUUAUACGCUGCAGCACAUGCCACCCUCCUUUUAUUUUCUUUUUUUUUGGGCAAAGUGUUAGAAAUUUUUUUAUUUUCUGUGUAGGUCAAACUUGUAUCUAAAAAUCACAAAAUAAUUAGAUACAACAAUUCCACGGUCUGUGUAUAUUGUUGAGUGUUAUCCAGUCUGACUGACCUCAAAUCUCUUAUACUGUGGAAUGUAUCUUUGGUUUAAUAUUACCUUUGAUCUAUGCGGCAUGUUAUCACAAAAUGCUGAAGUAAGCACUCACAACUCACAUAAAUUCCCACAGCACACUAUAGCAUGCUCUCAGUGAAUAUCCAGACAAUCUACCAUUUUAAUCUUCACUGUUAAUGUUUACGAGAAGAGCCGAAAGCCAAAAUAUGAUCUUUGAAUGACGUCUUAUAGAGUUGAACUGAACAAAGGUUUACUUACAACUUUCAUUAUUUUUAAUAUCUAUGAAAACGUUUAUAUUGUGGCAUCGGUGAGAAAGAAGCUUGGCCAGGAAGCAUUGUUAUAACCUUUUAUUGCCAACUCAUGUUUACAGUACAAAUACAAGCUCAGUGGUUAGCCACAGAACUGGUUCAAAACCCACAGGGCUUCAUCAUAACAGUGAACAUAAUCAUAAUCUGACACAAACAUGGACAACAUAAACAACGUGAACACAUUUCUUCAUUAACAGCAAAAACUUGAGCUACUAAAACAUCACGUUAAUGAGGCAGCCACAAGGGCUCAUAGGUACACAAAGUAGUGCUUGUUGUAGCAAACCUGCAAUAUUGAAUUAGACUGGUUAAGAGAACUAGAAAGCCAAAUACUGAUGUUUAUCUGGACAAGAGCCUGUGCCAGAAUACUAUACCUUUGACUCAUGACCUUAUGUCAAAAAGCAGUACUGUACUCUGAGGACUGAAAAUAAAUUUUGUAAUUGCUUAAAAAGUCAUAUUUAUUUUAAAAACGCUUACAGUCAGGUUAAAUAAUUAGGAGACUACUAUCAGUGGUUGCCAAGCCAGCAUACAAGUAAUGAAUAGGAGUGCAUUGAUGCACCUAUAGUAGUGGUUCUCAAUGUAGGGAGCAUGAAGCAUAGCCAGACGGGUCUGUGAUUUUAGUUACAGUAAUUUAUUUAGAGUUGUCUCUUCAAUUCAUUCAUUCAUUCAAUCAGUCGAUCAUCUUCAGUAACUGCUUCAUCCUGGUCAAAGUCACAGUGGAUCCAGAACUUAUCCUGGGAACACUGGGCAGAAGGUAGGAGAAUCCACAUCGGAGGGGACACCCAUCCAUCUCAGGGCACCCCGCACACACACAUUCACAUCUAAGGGCAAUUUAGCAUAGCCAGUUUGCCUACCAGCAUAUUUUUGGAGGUGGGAGGAAAGCUGUGAACCCAGAAGAAACCCACACUGAGAUGUUCACAACAUGAGACUCAGGAGGACUGAAGCAGCAACGCUACCCACUGUGGCACUGUGAUGGUCGGUCCCUUGAAUUAAAUGGGUUUAAUCCAAACCUCAAAAGUUCAUAAAAAAUUAAUAGCCUAUAAAAAUGUUCAUGAAUAGAAAUGUCUAUGGCUGUAAUGAACAGACAAAAUAUCAUUGCACACAUUUGAAAAAUGUUCCUAAAUUAAAUGCUCUGAGGGGGUCUGUGGAAUUUAGUUCAUUUUAUUUUACUGCCCCUAGCUCCACAAACAACAGAUACCGCCCUCUAUAUCUACAAGGGUGCUGCAUUAAUUAUUUCUCCCUUUGCUAUUGUUUUUGUGUCAAUUUUUAGCACUGACGUUUGAUAGACCUGAAAAUAGGACCGCCCACACUACGUAGCGUCACCCGCGCAUGCGCGUUUCCACAAGCUCGUGUCUAUUUUUGUAGUGAUGGGAAGUUCGGAUCAUUUUACUGACUCGGAUCUUUAAAUCUCCUUCAGCAAAAUUAACUUAUCUUUUUCCGAGUCAUUUCGUUCAUUCCAGCAGAAUAUAAUGAAAAAUCUCUCUCUCUCUCUGGAAACGAAUCACUCUCUGAGACAACUCGUUGUUCCCGAGUCAUAGUAAAGAUUCGUUCAAAAUGAACGAAUAAUUCCUAAACGACACAACACUAUAUUAUACAA